rnacentral:lncRNA from 1 species
CGAAGCCAUGUCAGAAAUAAUAGAAAAGGCUUUUUCCUUUGAAAUAUCUAAACGUUCAAAGAUGGGAACAGCCGCAGGGGGGAGAAUACUGUGCUAUGCAAGUUGAUCUGAUUUUGUGGACCAUCCAUUUCCAAUUGGGAAGCUCACUUACUUUCAACUUGAAGCAUCAGAAAACCAGACUUACAGCAGCUUCAGCCUAUAGGGGUUUAUUUUUCUCAUGUAACAAGAAGAACAGAAGUGGACAGAGGCCGAGUUCUCAAGGACUCAGUUUCUUUCUGUCCCACCAACCUUACCAUGUUGGAUUGUCAUCUUUGUGCUUGUUGCCUCAUGAUGGCAAGAUGGCUGCAGCACCUCUGGGACUCACGACUGAUUUUUAAGACUACAGAGCCUAAGUCAAAGCUUGUUCUUGGACCCAGGAAAUAUGUCAAAUCCUUCCAGUGAAUGGUGCCUUUCAGGAUUGGAGACUACUCCCCCAGUUGCUGAUGGUGUGGUCAGCCCUCAGUUUUCAGUCCUCUUUGGGAAUUGCCUUGGAUGAAGAAAGUCACCUCACCCAAGAUCACUCCAACUCCUGGGACCCACAUCCAAUGAUUGGCCAAUAUGGGGACUCAAAGGCCUGGUCCCCCUUCCCCAACUUGAGACUACUCUGAAGGAUCACCCAGCUUCAGAGCUUCCCAUGGUUGAGACUUUUAGACUUCACUGUGGUCCAACCAAUCUCUUCCUAUACACGGUCCUGACUCCUUCACUUCCCUCCCAGCACUUCUUCUGUGUUAAUAUCAAACUUCUGUGCUAAUAACAAACUUCUUC